GACGAACGCUGGCGGCGCGCUUAACACAUGCAAGUCGAACGGAAAGGCCUGCUUUCCCUUGUGGAUUGCGGGUACUCGAGUGGCGAACGGGUGAGUAACACGUGAGUGAUCUGCCCCCAACUUGGGUAUAAGCCUGGGAAACUGGGUCUAAUUCCCGAUAGGACUGCAGGGUGGUGCCUGUGGUGGAAAACGAUUUUCUAGUGGUUGGGGAUGAGCUCGCGGCCUAUCAGCUUGUUGGUGGGGUAAUGGCCGACCAAGGCGGCGACGGGUAGCCGGCCUGGGAGGGUGGACGGCCGCAUUGGGACUGAGACACGGCCCAGACUCCUACGGGAGGCCGCAGUGGGGAAUAUUGCACGAUGGGCGGAAGCCUGAUGCAGCGACGCCGCGUGGGGAAUGACGGCCUUCGGGUUGUAAACUCCUUUCGACCGCGAGGAAGCCACCUGGUUGGAAGGGUGGUGACGGUAGUGGUAGAAGAAGCACCGGCUAACUACGUG
rnacentral:rRNA from 1 species